GUGCCAGCAGCCGCGGUAAUACGAAGGGGGCUAGCGUUGUUCGGAAUCACUGGGCGUAAAGCGCACGUAGGCGGACUGUUAAGUCGGGGGUGAAAUCCUGGGGCUCAACCCCAGAACUGCCCUCGAUACUGGCGGUCUUGAGUGUGGAAGAGGUUGGUGGAACUCCGAGUGUAGAGGUGAAAUUCGUAGAUAUUCGGAAGAACACCAGUGGCGAAGGCGGCCAACUGGUCCACUACUGACGCUGAGGUGCGAAAGCGUGGGGAGCAAACAGGAUUAGAUACCCCCGUAGUCC
rnacentral:rRNA from 1 species